GUGGGCGUAGCUCAGCGGUAGAGCGCCAGCUUCCCAAGCUGGCGCCCUCC
rnacentral:tRNA from 1 species